GGGGCAUCACCAAUAUUCCACACGGAUUCCUUGUGCUUCAGCUUCACAAAACCCUAAACCCUAAAACUUUCUCCUUCUCAAACUCUUUCGUCUACAACAUUAUCUCUUCCCUCUUUCUGAACAUUCCAGAAACCCUGGCACAUUCUCUUUUCGAGCUCUCGAAGCUACCUUUGUUACUCCACAGCCAUGUAUAGGUUUGUCUCUGGCCUCGCCUCCAAAGCCAGGUUGGCUAAGAACAGUACCCAGCAGAUUGGUGGUAGGUUGACUUGGAGCAGAAAUUAUGCGGCCAAAGACAUUAAAUUUGGCGUUGAAGCUCGCGCUUUGAUGCUUAAAGGUGUUGAGGAUCUUGCUGAUGCUGUUAAAGUGACUAUG
rnacentral:misc_RNA from 1 species